rnacentral:rRNA from 1 species
AGCGCAGGCGGUGCGGCAAGUCUGAUGUGAAAGCCCGGGGCUCAACCCCGGUACUGCAUUGGAAACUGUCGUACUAGAGUGUCGGAGGGGUAAGUGGAAUCCCUAGUGUAGCGGUGAAAUGCGUAGAUAUUAGGAGGAACACCAGUGGCGAAGGCGGCUUACUGGACGAUAACUGACGCUGAGGCUCGAAAGCGUGGGGAGCAAACA